UACGGAGGGUGCAAGCGUUGUCCGGAAUCAUUGGGUGUAAAGGGUGCGUAGGCGGAAGUCUAAGUCUUCCGCUUAACGGGAGAAUUGCCAUUGAUACUGUUGUUCUUGAGUGUUUAUGAAGUGGUUAGAAUAUGUAGUGUAGCGGUGAAAUGCAUAGAUAUUACAUAGAAUACCGAUUGCGAAGGCAGAUCACUAAUAAAAUACUGACGCUGAUGGACGAAAGCGUAGGUAGCGAACAGG
rnacentral:misc_RNA from 1 species